AUUGAACGCUGGCGGCAUGCCUUACACAUGCAAGUCGAACGGCAGCACGGGAGCAAUCCUGGUGGCGAGUGGCGAACGGGUGAGUAAUGUAUCGGAACGUACCUUUCAGUGGGGGAUAACGUAGCGAAAGUUACGCUAAUACCGCAUAUUCUGUGAGCAGGAAAGCAGGGGAUCGCAAGACCUUGCGCUGAUUGAGCGGCCGAUAUCAGAUUAGCUAGUUGGUGAGGUAAAGGCUCACCAAGGCGACGAUCUGUAGCGGGUCUGAGAGGAUGAUCCGCCACACUGGAACUGAGACACGGUCCAGACUCCUACGGGAGGCAGCAGUAGGGAAUAUUGGGCAAUGGGCGCAAGCCUGACCCAGCCAUGCCGCGUGAAGGAUUAAGGCCCUCUGGGUUGUAAACUUCUUUUAUCAGGGAAGAAACCUCUCGAUUCAUCGAGAGCUGACGGUACCUGAGGAAUAAGCACCGGCUAACUCCGUG
rnacentral:rRNA from 1 species